UGGGGAAUAUUGCACAAUGGGCGCAAGCCUGAUGCAGCCAUGUCGCGUGUAUGAAGAAGGCCUUCGGGUUGUAAAGUACUUUCAGUCGGGAGGAAGGUGGUAAGGUUAAUAACCUUAUCAAUUGACGUUACCCGCAGAAGAAGCACCGGCUAACUCCGUGCCAGCAGCCGCGGUAAUACGGAGGGUGCAAGCGUUAAUCGGAAUUACUGGGCGUAAAGCGCACGCAGGCGGUUUGUUAAGUCAGAUGUGAAAUCCCCGGGCUCAACCUGGGAACUGCAUCUGAUACUGGCAAGCUUGAGUCUCGUAGAGGGGGGUAGAAUUCCAGGUGUAGCGGUGAAAUGCGUAAAGAUCUGGAGGAAUACCGGUGGCGAAGGCGGCCCCCUGGACAAAGACUGACGCUCAGGUGCGAAAGCGUGGGGAGCAAACAGG
rnacentral:rRNA from 1 species